rnacentral:misc_RNA from 1 species
CUGUCUUAAACUCUUAUCGAAAGACAGUAGACUGUCGUCACUGUAGAAACAGUGAAAUCAGUUGAGCCGUCGUAGUGGCACACGAUGCGCGGUAACAUUUUGUUCAAGCUAUGAAGAGGGUAUUAAACAACCAUAAGGGCUGAUCAAUUUCCCAAGGCCGGCCGUAUGAUACGCCGAUACCGGUCUUUAAAUUAUAAAUCCCACAAAUUGUUGGAUUACUUCUUUUUUGCUAUUCUUCGCCUUAUGCGGAUAGCGCCAAGCAGCCACAAUACGUACAAGGAUCCGACUUCUACCUCAAUUACGUAGAAAAGUGCAGUUGUUUCGAGGUUUAACCGCUGCAAUCAGUGGUUGCACAUUGUACAACAAUCGCGCUUCUAAAAUGAUGGCUGAUGAUUCGAGUGUACGAGUGGCAGUCAGGAUACGGCCUCAGGUUGCUCGUGAGGUUAUAGACAUGUGCAGAGUAUGUACACAGGUACCGCCAGGAGAGCCACAGGUCUUCCUUGGGCCAGACAAAGCCUUCACAUACGAUCAUGUUUUCGAUACUGGCGUUGGACAAAAUACCAUAUAUGAGGCUUGUGUUGCACGUCUGGUGGACGGUGCUCUAGAUGGCUACAAUGCUACUGUUCUUGCUUAUGGUCAAACUGGCUCUGGAAAAACUUACACCAUGGGAACAGGUUUCGAUGUCGAAGUAGAUGAUAGCGUGAUCGGCAUAAUUCCUAGAGCCAUUACACACUUAUACAAUGGUAUAUUAGAAAAACAAGAGCGUGCCAGAGAACGCGGACAAAUGCCACCAGAGUUCAAGGUGACUGCACAAUUUCUCGAAUUAUACAACGAAGAACUCAAAGACUUGUUAGAGCCAGGUGGUCCAAGGGGAGGAGCUCGUAUUCACGAAGACACGACAGGAAGUAUUCAUUUGACGGGUGUAGAGCCAAGGAUUGUGACUAGUCCAGAAGAUGCUUUGGAGUGUUUGCGACUUGGAGCUCUCUCACGAACAACUGGCUCAACACAAAUGAAUACACAGUCUUCAAGGUCGCAUGCAAUAUUUACACUGCAUGUCAAACAGCAACGUUGUGUCAAAGUUGAAGACCCUGAUGCCGACGUUGACACUAGCGGCACCGAACCUGCUAGUGAGUUUGAAACUCUAACUGCUAAGUUUCAUUUUGUCGACUUGGCAGGGUCAGAAAGACUUAAACGAACUGGAGCUACCGGAGAAAGAGCUAAAGAAGGAAUAUCUAUCAAUUGCGGUUUGUUGGCACUUGGUAAUGUAAUAUCAGCCCUUGGAGACACAACGAAAAAAGCCCUCCAUGUACCUUAUCGAGAUUCCAAGCUAACAAGGCUACUGCAGGACUCGUUGGGAGGAAAUAGUCAAACGGUUAUGAUAGCAUGUGUCUCGCCAAGUGACCGUGAUUUCAUGGAAACACUGAGUACCUUGAAAUACGCUAAUAGAGCAAGAAACAUAAAGAACAAGGUGACAAUAAAUCAAGACAAGAGUUCGCGAACAAUUGCUUCUCUUCGCAGAGAAAUACAGCAGCUACAACUUGAAUUAAUGGAGUACAGGCAGGGCAAGAGAGUGGUCGGUGAAGAUGGUGUGAACGAUGCAUGGCACGAGAAUCAAAUGCUGAACAGUGAAUUGACCAGUCUUCGUACUAGAGUCAAAGCUCUUUCUGAAACUGUGGAAGCUCUUACAGCCAAAAACGCUCUUCUAUUAGCAGAAAAAGCAGCAGGUCAUUGGCUGGCAUCUGGAGGAAGUGGCAGCGAUGAUGUUACCAGCUUAGUGCAAGGCUACUUACAAGAAAUUGAAGAACUGCGUGCUCGAUUACUCGAAGCAGAAGCGAUGUAUCAGCAGUUGAAAAAGCGACAAGUUCAAGUUAAUGCAGCUAAUCUGUAUGGUGAACCGUCCUAUGUAUUUCAUAACGACUCUUCUUCUGUCCUGGCAGAAGCUAAGAAAGAACUUCAGAAAGAAAUUAACACAUUGGCAGCAUUAAAAGAACAGCAUACACCUAAUUCUAACACUUCUGCAAAAGUAGAAGGAGAAGAUGGAGAGCAGGAGGAAAAUGAUAAUGUUCACGAAUUCAUGAGCGAAGAUGAAUCUGAGGACGAUGCAGAUCGCAAAGAAGAAGAUGAAGAGGAAGAAGCUAUGGGGCGAGAGUUAGAAGCUCUGACGUCGGACAUAGAUGUUAAGCAGCGUUUAAUUCAAGAAUUGGAAUUGUCACAAAGAAGGCUGCUAACAAUGAAACAACAUUACGAAGACAAAUUGACUCAAUUGCAAGCACGUAUUAAAAAUACUACUGAAGAGCGCGAUAAAGUACUAUCAUCCUUACAGCAACACCCUGCUCCUCCAACUGAGAAAGUUAAAAAAUUACGAGAUGAGUACGAGCGAAAAUUAUCGUCAAUGCAAAAAGAGAUGCGAUUACUUCAGUCUGCCAAAAAAGAACAUGCGCGAUUAUUGCGCAGUCAAUCUCAAAGUGAGAAUAGGCUUAGAGGAUUGAGAAAUGAGUUGGCAGAGAUGAAGAGAGCAAAAGUUAAGCUACUGAACAAGAUGAGAGAAGAGGCCCAGAGGCAUAAAGAGAAUGAAUUGAGACGCAAUAGAGAGAUAGCUCAACUGCGUAAAGAAAGUCGUAAAAAUGCGAAUAUGAUUAGGAAUUUAGAGGCGGAUAAAAAAAUGAAGGAAGUGGUACUACGACGAAAGCAGGAAGAGGUAACGGCACUCAGGAAACGGGAUAGAGGUUUGAGUCAGAAGGCAGCUGGUAGGACAGUACUAAAAGAAAAGAGUCCAAAGGCCCUUAAACAAAGAUGGCAAACGUUUGAAAGAACUAUUACAAAGCAGGCAUUGGCAAAACAGGCUGCAGCUGAAACUGAAAGAGAAAUGGAAAGGCUUUUACAGGAGCGAGAAGAGUUGGGAAGAGAUUUAGAAAGACUUCAAAAACGAAGAGCUGUUGCUUCUGCUGCAAAUGGUGACACUGCUGACAUAGACGAAGAAAUUGAUAAUGUUAAGAGUAAAAUAAGCUACCUACAGGAUAGUAUAGCUGACUGUCAACGUGAUAUGGUGGAAAUGGGUGAAGUAGAAGGCGAGAGUGAGCCAGGCGCUGAGGUUCUGCUUGCCACAAUCAAGUCGGUUGACGAAGCACGCUAUUUAUUAGAAAGAAUGCUCGCAUUUACCGUAGAACAAAGUUGUAUGGCAGCACAGAGGCAAUCAGAAGUUCGUGACAUGGAAACUAGAUUGAACCAAGUUUCGCAGGAAAGCGAUGUGCAACAUCAGCUACUUGAACAUGUGCUGAGAGAUCGAGAUUUACUUUCACUUACCAACAAUCAUCAAAAUAAUUCUUCUAUCUAUAGCCCUAAUAGUUCAAGAAGUUCUUCGCCAGACAACAAUGACAGCUACAACCAAGUAAUUUCUGGAACUGAUGAUAAACAACAGAAAAGCAACAAAGUUCGACGGAGGACCACACAGCCACAGGAGCUACUUUACGGUGUUGCAGUCGGUUCAGAUACAAUAAAAGCAGAUGAAGAUCAAAAUCAAAAUCACAACCAUCCACUCACAAGGGUGCCCAGCGCUCCUGGCAGUCUGAAAGGUUUGGUACUGACUAGAAGUCAAUACGGAGUGGGAGUGGUUGUUGGCUCACCAACGCUAACUCGUCGUGAUAGUACCUCACCAAGGCCUCUGCGACGACCCCUCCAUCCUGGAGGAGGCUCCAUGGAACAGGUAGGACUGACGGAUGUAUCAUCACCACCUGGUUCGCCAACUGCUUAUCGUCGAUUCAAUAGUAGAGAAGAAAAUGUAUUUUCAAGGCUGACUGCCAGUAGGCAGCCAUUGCCUUCCGACCCUCAACCUACUAGAGGAGUCAUCUCCCAAUAUCAAGGAAAGGCACAGCCCAGAGCAAUUUUGCAAUGUAGUCAUAUAGCAGAAGGACAUAGCAAGGCUGUUCUUACUAUUUGUGCUACUAAUGAUCGUCUUUUCAGUGGUUCCAAAGAUCGUACAGUGAAAGUUUGGGACCUGGAAACUGGGCUGGAAAGUCUCACACUGAGUGGUCAUCCCAAUAAUGUUGUAGCAGUAAAAUAUUCUGUUGAACACCGCCUGCUUUUUAGUAUAUCAGCAGCAUAUGUAAAAGUUUGGGAUUUACGAGCUGGAAACUCUUGUGUCAAAACGCUCUUUUCAUCUGGUCAAGCUCAGAGCGGCCCUCUGGCUCUAUCAACACCAUCUAGAACUCUUCAACUUCCUGUUGGAGAGACAACAAUAAAUGACGUGGCUCUAAGUCUUGACGAAAAAGAACUUUAUACGGCAACUAGUGACAAAGUUAGAAUAUGGGACUUGCGCAAGUUAACUUACAGUGGAAGACUGAGUACAGCUCACACUGCUGCAGUAAUGUGUUUGGCAGUUGCUUCUGAUGGCAGAGUAAUUACUGGUAGCAAAGACCACCUUAUAGCUCUUGUAGAGCCAAAUACUUCUGGACAAUCUGUUAGUCUGGCACCGCCUCAUUACGAUGGUGUACAAUGCCUAGCUACAUAUGGCUCAACGUUAUUCUCUGGAUCCCGAGACAUGUGUAUUAAAAGAUGGGAUUUACAAAAGAUGGAAUUAGUUCAAUCACUCAACAAUGCUCACAAAGAUUGGGUUCUUGGAUUAUGUACAGUGAACCAUGGUUCGGUUCUAAUUUCUGGCUGUCGCGGUGGUUUAUUGAGAGCAUGGUCAGUUCCUCGCGAUCAAUCCGGAGAAUGCAGCCUUUUGGGAGAGGUUCGGGCACAUAGUUCUGCAAUUAAUGCAGUUGUCACGAAUCAACAACACAUAUUCACAGCUAGCAACUCUGGAGAAGUUAAGCUGUGGCGAAUACCUGAUGCCUCGCUUAUUAUGUCUGUGUCCACAGUAUCGCUUUAACUUGUUUUAUUCAUUUGUAUUUAUUUUGUAUUUUUUUACAGCUCAUUUGGUUUUAUUUUAUAAUAAUCCGCAUGUACUUUGCUUUUCGCAUCACUAUCAUCUUAAAUCAAUGGAAAGGACAAUAUAUUUUUUAUUAUAUUUGUAAGCAAUAAACGUAUCCACCAAUUCAACUUUGAUGCAGUAAUUGCAAUUUUAAAGUUGUUGCAUCCAUCUGAUCAUUGCUCUUGAAGCUCGGUCGACUGUACAAUUCAACUGUGUCCAAGUGAAUAUGUAUAUAUAUGUAUAUAUAGAGAUGUAUUUGUUGGAUACUGGUCAACUUCUGGUUGGAUUCCUAUUUAUAUAACUCUUGUUUAACCAAAUACAAGAUGUGCAGUGCACAUUUGGACUUAGUUUCACUUUAGUUUAUUUAUCUCCAAGUAGUGACAUAUUAUUAACAUAUUACAGCAAAUUUGAUUGUCACAUGAAUCAUCAGUGAUUACAUACAGUUCUUAACACAUUGAAAACUGCUACUCCAUCCAUUGAGAAAUUCUUAAAGUGCUUACAGAAAUCUGAUGGCUCCUUGAAAUUAUGGCACUACUACAAGAGAGAUCAACGACAACGAAGCAACUCCUUGAGGCGCUGAAGUGAUGCUGCGCUUCAAUUGUAAAUUAUUAGCAAAUUUAUUUUAUAUUCUGUUGAUAAAACGCCGAAAUUAAAUUUAACUCAAUGUAACAUACAUUAUACAUUUCUUUACGUUCCUUAUCAUUUGUGGAACAUAAUCUAAAUGUACUAUGAAACCUACCACCAGUAUUUUCUUAUUGAAUACGUAUUCAACACUAGUUUAGAUGGCUUGUUGAACCGAAAUUAUACACUAAUAUGUAAUUUCCAUGAAAGGAGAAUUAGAAAAUCUCGUUAUCUAUUAAGCCUAAUGCUACUCAGUAUGGAAUAAAGUUAUACAAACAUAGUAAAA